rnacentral:rRNA from 1 species
AUUGAACGCUGGCGGCAUGCUUUACACAUGCAAGUCGAACGGCAGCGCGGGCUUCGGCCUGGCGGCGAGUGGCGAACGGGUGAGUAAUACAUCGGAACGUGCCCAGUAGUGGGGGAUAGCUCGGCGAAAGCCGGAUUAAUACCGCAUACGACCUGAGGGUGAAAGCGGUGGAUCUUCGGACCUCGCGCUAUUUGAGCGGCCGAUGGCAGAUUAGCUAGUUGGUGGGGUAAAGGCCUACCAAGGCGACGAUCUGUAGCUGGUCUGAGAGGACGACCAGCCACACUGGGACUGAGACACGGCCCAGACUCCUACGGGAGGCAGCAGUGGGGAAUUUUGGACAAUGGGCGAAAGCCUGAUCCAGCAAUGCCGCGUGUGUGAUGAAGGCCUUCGGGUUGUAAAGCACUUUUGGCGGGAACGAAAAGGACUGUGCCAAUACCACGGUUCGAUGACGGUACCCGCAGAAUAAGCACCGGCUAACUACGUG